rnacentral:tRNA from 1 species
CCGUCGAUAGCUCAGUUGGUAGAGCGGUGGACUGUAGAAGGCAUCAAACUGACAUCCAUAGGUCGCUGGUUCGAAUCCGGCUCGACGGA